CGUACGAUCACCGAAUUUAAGCUACGUCGAGCCUGGUAAGUACCUAGAUGGGUGUCCGCUUGGGAAUACCAUGUGCUAUAU